GGGUGGUAAUGCCGGAUGUUCCACAUGAUCGCAUGUGAUUGUGGGAAAGAUUCUAUCGGCGUGGGAUGGGGUCGCGUCCUAUCAGCUUGUUGGUGAGGUAACGGCUCACCAAGGCUUCGACGGGUAGCCGGCCUGAGAGGGCGACCGGCCACAUUGGGACUGAGAUACGGCCCAGACUCCUACGGGAGGCAGCAGUGGGGAAUAUUGCACAAUGGGCGCAAGCCUGAUGCAGCGACGCCGCGUGAGGGAUGGAGGCCUUCGGGUUGUAAACCUCUUUUGUUUGGGAGCAAGCCUUCGGGUGAGUGUACCUUUCGAAUAAGCGCCGGCUAACUACGUGCCAGCAGCCGCGGUAAUACGUAGGGCGCAAGCGUUAUCCGGAUUUAUUGGGCGUAAAGGGCUCGUAGGCGGCUCGUCGCGUCCGGUGUGAAAGUCCAUCGCUUAACGGUGGAUCUGCGCCGGGUACGGGCGGGCUGGAGUGCGGUAGGGGAGACUGGAAUUCCCGGUGUAACGGUGGAAUGUGUAGAUAUCGGAAAGAACACC
rnacentral:rRNA from 1 species